rnacentral:rRNA from 1 species
UACGUAGGGUGCGAGCGUUGUCCGGAAUUAUUGGGCGUAAAGGCUCGUAGGCGGUCUGUCACGUCGGGAGUGAAAACACGGGGCUUAACCCCGUGCCUGCUUCCGAUACGGGGCAGACUAGAGGUAUGCAGGGGAGAACGGAAUUCCUGGUGUAGCGGUGAAAUGCGCAGAUAUCAGGAGGAACACCGGUGGCGAAGGCGGUUCUCUGGGCAUUACCUGACGCUGAGGAGCGAAAGUGUGGGGAGCGAACAGG